rnacentral:rRNA from 1 species
AUUGAACGCUGGCGGCAUGCUUUACACAUGCAAGUCGAGCGGCAGCGCGGGGCAACCUGAUGGCGAGUGGCGAACGGGUGAGUAAUAUAUCGGAACGUGCCCUAGAGUGGGGGAUAACUAGUCGAAAGAUUAGCUAAUACCGCAUACGAUCUAAGGAUAAAAGUGGGGGAUCGCAAGACCUCCUGCUCCUGGAGCGGCCGAUAUCUGAUUAGCUAGUCGGUGGGGUAAAAGCCUACCAAGGCGACGAUCAGUGGCUGGUCUGAGAGGACGACCGGCCACACUGGGACUGAGACACGGCCCAGACUCCUACGGGAGGCAGAAGUGGGGAAUUUUGGACAAUGGGGGCAACCCUGAUCCAGCAAUGCCGCGUGAGUGAAGAAGGCCUUCGGGUUGUAAAGCUCUUUUGUCAGGGAAGAAACGGUUUUGGCUAAUAUCCAAGACUAAUGACGGUACCUGAAGAAUAAGCACCGGCUAACUACGUGCCAGCCGCCGCCGUAACAC